rnacentral:rRNA from 1 species
GAUGAACGCUGGCGGCGUGCCUAACACAUGCAAGUCGAACGGAAAGGAGCCGUUGAGGCCGUCGGGUCAAGGGGGGGAAGGCUGAGUGGCGGACGGGUGAGUAACACGUGGGCAACGUGGAUCUUAGAGGGGGAUGGCAGAGAGCAAUUUCUGCUAAUACCGCAUAAGCAGACGCUGGGGCAUGGCAGGGGGUGGAAGGAGAAUCGCUAUGAGAUCGACCCGUGUCUGAUUAGGCGGUUGGCAGGGUAAGAGCCUAGCAAAGCGACGAUCAGUACCAGAUGUGAGAGGAUGAACGGUCACAUUGGGACUGAGACACGGCCCAAACUCCUACGCGAGGGAGCAGUGGGGUAUAUUGCACAAGGGAGGGAACCCUGAUGCAGCCGCGCCGCGUGAGUGAAGAAUUAUUUCGGUAUGUAAAGCUCUAUCAGCAGGGAAGUUAGUGACAGUACCUGAAUAAGAAGCCCCGGCUAACUACGUG